rnacentral:lncRNA from 1 species
AAUUUGAUAAGUAUCUGGAAAACAAAUCCCUAAAAACUAGGCUAAUAAUCUGCCUAAUAUUUUAGGAAACAAAAUCUUUUCCCUAAAAUCCCAAAAUCCUUGUCACGCUAGGAUCUUUUUCCGCGUGAAACUUGCUUCUUUCCUUUGCAUGCAAUCUGAUUAUGUAAAGUUAUAAAGGCCCACGUAAUACUAACUUUAAUUUUCAAACUUGAUGGUUAUAAAGCAUAUGAUAAUAUGUUGCCCACAUGUGAAUAACUUGCUGAUCAAGAUUGUAUCAGUAACC